GGUGGCCACGCCCCCUCCCCGCCCCCUCAUUAACAUAAUUAAUUGUUUUUGCAUGUGCUGAAAAGGCCCCCGGGACCAGGGACCGCGGCAUGACCCCGGCGAGCAGGACAACUCGGACAACAACACGAUCUUCGUGCAGGGGCUGGGCGAGAACGUCACCAUCGAGUCCGUGGCCGACUACUUCAAACAGAUCGGCAUCAUCAAGACCAACAAGAAGACGGGGCAGCCCAUGAUCAACCUGUACACGGACCGCGAGACCGGGAAGCUCAAGGGCGAGGCCACCGUGUCCUUCGACGACCCGCCCUCGGCCAAGGCGGCCAUCGACUGGUU